rnacentral:lncRNA from 1 species
UAGUUGUUGAAAUUUUAUUAACUUUGAUCUUUAUGGUUCCUCACCACUAGAAAUUUUGGUGUUAGGUUAUCAUGACGAUCUGUAUCAUACCUAACGAACACGUGGACCUGUAGCAAAUAUAUGAGGCAUAUUUGGGUUAUUCUGUAUUACAAAAUGCCAAAAGCUUGUACAAAACUUGCAAAAAGAAAUAAAGAAAAGUCAAAUAUCUUCCCAUUAUUACUAUUUUUUUUUUUUUGUCUAAAUCUGUUAUGUCUUUUGUAGGUUCCAUGUUAAUAAGAUGUCUUCAGCCCAUGUUUAUGCCGGGCUGCUCAUAGGUCACUAUCGAUGACAUGAGUGAAGGUUUAUUGGAAGAUUGUGCUAAACUUGUCAAAGAAAAUUCAAUUCAAGGUAAAAUAUCGCGAUUAAUUAUUCCUAGAUUAGGAUACUGCUACUAGAGUUAUUGUCGAGGGUCUGUGGCCGGAUCAGACAAUUGUUUUCUAUCAGCAAUGUAACAUGUGGUUUACAUUUCAAGAGAUUUAUUUGAUCAAUUGUUGUUUCUCAGGAGUACAAAGGAAACAAAUAAAUAUAAAAUAAUUUGAGAGAGGUGCUAUAUGUCACGAAUACACUUCCUCACUAAUUUCACAAACUCUCUAUUUUUCUAUUUUUUAUUUUUAUACCUGAAAAUAUUUUGAAAAAUAGAACUGCUAGGGCGUAGUAUGUAUCGAUCAUCACGCAACCUCAGCUGCAUAUAUUAAAGAUCCUUAGUGUGUGUCUGCCAAAAAAUAUCACAGUUCAUGAAAACUUGGAUCCAAUGCUAUGAAGUUUGAAUUGUGAAUUUAUAAUGUUUUUUGUUUUCAGAUUUACUUCUAUGAGAAAUUACUUUUGUUUUCUUUCUGAACGUAAUUGUAUAUAUGCUCAUCAUGUUAUGUGAGCAUGACAAAUGAAUAAGUUAUUAAGCUAUUGAUUGUGGAGUGCAUUGCAUUGCUUGUCGUCGCUUUGCCAUGACUUAUAUUACUUGAACAAAUUCUUAUGUCCUACUUAUUGAAGUUCUCUUUGGUAGCAUGGGUUUUGCAUAUUUGUUGCAUACUUUUCUUUGUAGUUACUUUUCUGAAUAUAUAAAAUCAAUAAAAUCUCUGUAAAACAUCUUUAUUUAUCUGUUUUAGUAUUUUUCCCUCAUCUUUAUUUAUAUGCUGCAUUGUGGUUGUAAUGCAUUUGUUUUUCUUCUGAUAUACUGGUUUUGAUUUUGAAGUCCACCGAUGUUUGAACUAUGUUGAAUACAUUGAUUAAGAGUAUAUUUAGAACUAAUUAAGGAAGAAGUUAUAUGAGCGAUUGAGCCUUAUUCUUACAACCCUGUAGGUUUAGUUUCCCUUAGAAAGUUAUUUAUUUUGGUAGGUUAGCUGAAUGGAGGAGUUAAUACUACAAUUAACCGUGUACAAAUAUUUUGUGGUUUAUUUUAGGUUUAGUUUUUAAUAAGAUAUUAAGCAGCGGACGGAAUAAUUUCCUCAUGAGUAUAUCUUCCCCACAGAGCAAAGCAUAGCACAUCAAGAGAAAAAAAGGCAGGGACAAGGUAAAAUUUGCUAGGUCAAUAACAAAAUGGUUUNCUCAAUGAAACUCUUUGGUGUGAUUUUUGAACUAGGUGAGCUCUCCUUUUAUAGGGAGAGUUUGUAACUAAUUUGGAGAAACUUAAGAAUUAAGUAAACUUAAAAAUUAAGCAACCCAUAUUAGCUCAAGUAACAAACUAAUCGGAUAAGUUCAAAAAGAAACAAAUGUUGGAACAAAAUGUGUUUAACAUCAAACCUUAAGAGUUUUGAUGAUAACAAAGUAUUAAAAAUUGUCAAUUGGAUAUGCUAAUAUUUGUUCAAGCGUACAUGACUAUAGACAAAACUUGAUAUCUUAAAAAGGUCCUGGAAGAACAAUAAAGAGCAAAGGCAUCAACAAAAAGAGAAGCUUAACGCGCCUGAAGAAAACUGCUCCUGAAGUUAAAGCGCUCCUGAUGACGUCAUCAUAAGCAAGUUCAUCAUAAGCUAGUUCAUCAGAAGCAAGUUUAUCAGAAGCUGUGAAUCACCAGAAGCUGCAGUUCAUCAGGAGAUGCAACUUAAAGUUUCAAAAAGUUGUUCAACGGAUUCAAACUCGCCUAAAGAUUGCAGAAGACUAGAGAAGUGAAGCAACGACUAUUUUGGAGGGUUUUGAAAGCAUUGGAUGCUUGUUCUUCAAAGAGCGUUGACAAAGUAUGUUCGAACGAAGUGUACAACCACUACCUCCACUACUCUGUUUUGUCUCUGCUACAAGACAAGAAAAACAGCUAUGCCUGCAACAAUGUUCCUACACAUUGGGAACACGUUUGAAAUUGAUCCUUCAUAGGACAAUAACCAAAUCAGGCAAAGGAUCAUUAGUGAUUGAUCAAAAGUUUCAAACGACUCUAUUUUGAAUGUGCUGGCAAUUCAACGUCUCUCACACACUUCUAUUUAAAGGAGUUAAGACUCAGAGUUCCGAGAACAAUACCAAGAAUUAAAAGCGCCAAAACUCUGCUGAAAUUGUUUUGCAUUCAAGGUUCACUUAGAAUUUCUUAUCAAAGCUCAUAUCUUAGAAAUUCUAGACUCUUUAGAGUCUGUAUCUGAAUUGUAUUGUGAACACCACUGAUUGUAUAUCAAGUGUUCAAACUCAAACAUAAUCUUUGUAAUUCUGUUUUAAUUGAGAAGUCUCUUGCAGUUGUGCUUGAGCAAUAGAAGUCUCUUGAUUGUGUUUAGGAGCAUAGGAAGUCUCUUGCAGUUGUGAUUGAGCAUUUGAAGUCUCGUACUAAGUUUAGUAUUGAACAAUUGUAAUCAGAUAUUAUUUUUAGUGAACUUCUCUUGGAAGUGCAAGGGGGAUAGGACUGACUUCCCGUUUGUGGAAGGAACCUGUAUAAAUUGCUUUGUGUCUUUCUUUCUUCUCUCUCUCUCUCUCUCUGUUUUUAUCCGCUGCAAUUAGUUCUGAACAUCACUUAUGAAGUAAAACUUUAUCUGCUUCUAAACAGUGUUUUCAGAUAGGAGAAAAAGAAGAAAAAACAAACACAAUUCAACCCCCCUUCUUGUGUUUUUCUCACCUUCAACAAACCCACAAGAUUAGAUGAAACAAACUAAUGAAAGAAAGAUAAGAAAUUCAGUUGGAUUCUCAAUCUUAUCACAACAAACAUAACCUAAAAUUGUGAGAAGUGAUAUCCAUGAAUAAAGAAUAAUAAUAAUAAUAAUUUUCAUCAUUAUCAUGUAUUUAAAAUUAAAUACCACUAUUUAAACACUACUAACGUGUUUGUUCUAUUUUACGUGGGACCUCCACACUCUAUUUUUUCAAUUCACACAACACUAGAUCAAAGUUUAAUAACUUGGUGUUUAAUCUUCCAACCUUCCAAUUUCUUUCCAUCUUCACACCAAUGUUCCAACACAUGUUUCGAAGAGAAAAUGGAACUAACGAAGGGUUCCCGAAAGCCUGCAAAGCACUCCAGGAGUCCCCUCCACCCUAAGAUGCCGCCAAUGGUACUUAAUGGAAAAUUCCAGAGCCAACACAAAUCCAAAUAACUAGACCUCUCAAAAACCGAAUUUUGACCCAAGUUGCAAGAAAAACAACCCAAAAAAAUCCUCGAUAUUCAUGAAAAAUACUACCACAAGCAGCUAAGCCAUACAACUGAACCAACCUUAUUUACCUUAACAAAAGGCAAAGUGGGAGCUUUUCAAACGACAAUAAUAAUAGCAGCAACAAUGGUAUGAAUAGAGUAAACAACAGCCGAAAAUAUCAUGAAUUUGAGAACAGCAUGUAAGACCCGUAAUUUUGAUGCGACUAAAUUUAGGGCUUUGUAUUUGUUUUGAUGUUUUUUUUUUUGUUAAUAAAUGAGUUUAUGAAAUGUCUUGACGUUGUCGGAAUUCCAAAAUUUGUUUUCUAUUGAUUUUGAGAAAACAUGUUGGAAGUAUUUGUUGUUUAAAUUUUGAAUGGACCAAGAGCGUCAUGAAAAUUUAAACAAGAGUUUUACACAUUGCUCGUAUGGGUAGAUGAUCUCAUUAUAUUUCUCCAAAUUUUUGAAACAAGAUUUUUGUUGGAAAGUUAUUUUGAUUUCAAAACCAUUACUUGAAAUGAGAAACUCGUUGAGCAAUUUAACUACGUGAGAUCUAGAAUUGAUUCACAUAUGCCGUUUGCUACUCUGUGUGACUGAUUUUGACAUUCAGAAUGUUUGUUAGGCAUGAAAAUGUAAUAUCCCGCAUGUGAGAUUAAGUCACAUAUCGAUACAAGUUAUUUUAUCCUUGGAACUUUCAUGAUCGAAUUAUAUGAUUACAACGGAUUACGGAGAAUGAAAUAUGCCGCUUAAAGUUUUUACAGUAUUUUUUUUAUCAGAUAAAUUAAGUUAAGAAGACCUAGAAGGGGUAAAAUGGUCAUUUCCCAUAAGUGGGGUAUAUAUAAGACAAAAUAUCCAAAAAAGUUUCCACACUUUUCUACCACAUUCUCUCACCCAAAAUCAGAUUUUUCUUCCUCCUUCUCCUAACAUCACGCUAUCUCCCUCUUUCUCAUGCUAUCCACCAAAAAUCAGCACUUCACCAUGGAAUCAUCAUGCUUAUGUGUUUUGCUUGAGUUAUGGAAGAAGUAGAACCUCUAAACAACUUGUUCUCUCAUUCUUCCUCUCCUAAGAAGUUCAUUCAAGUGAUCCUAGCAUGGUUUGAAGAAGUUAGAGCUAAGAUGGUGAUCAUGUAAAGAGAAUUGAAGUUUGUGUUGUAUUUUGAGCUAGAGGCAAGCUUGAGCAAGAUUAAGGCAAGACACCAAGAGCUAGGGUUUGGCUUGGCAAGAAGAUAGAGGCAGGGGCUGAAUGUUGAAACUGAAUGUAAGUAUAAGUGAUUAAUAGCUUAAAUUGAGGUAAAAGUGAUUAUUUUGAGAAGAAAUUUAAGUUAUGUUGAUUCAUUAGAAGUAUAAGCUGUUAUUUCAUUUGGCAUUCUGUGAUGACUCUGUUUUUGGGCUGUUAGUAGUAUCAAUUUUGCUGUUGUUGCUGUUCGGAAUGAAAAGCUAGCAGUUAAAAGUCAUAAGUUGUUCCAAAAGCUAUCAGAAUUGAUUAUUGAGUUAAAACAAGUUAGAAUUUCAAUAUAAGUGUCUUAGGAGAUGUGUAAACAUGUUUGCUUUGAUUCUGGAAAAUUUGAAUUGAAAUGGAAUUGUUUAAAGGUCAUAAGCUGUCAGUUAAGCUGUUGAUUAAGUUGCUGUAACAGUGGUUCAUAGAGAUGAUUAUACAUGUUGGAACUGUUUUGUUGAAGGUUGGGUCGAAAUUGAUAUGACAAAAGUCAUAAGUUGCUAUUUAAUUCGUUUGGAUAAUAGCUUAAAUUAGAAUUUAAGUUGUUUCAGGUAUUAUCUUGUGAAGACCAGCUUAGGAGAGAUAUGUUGAAUUGGUAUAUGAGUAAUGGAAAUAUUAUAAGCUGUUCUAGUAAUGGUAAUUAAGCUGUUUUAGAAGUACUGAAUUCUGGUGCAGGGACUGAAAUGGGAAUUUUUCUAUAUGCUGAUCGAUGAAAUAGGAGUAUGUCACAAGUGGCACUACUACACAUAUGUGUUUUAGUAACAUUCAUCUUGCAACACUUGUUUAAUAGUUACUAAUAUAGAGAUUUUUCUUAACAUUUUUUAGUAAGUGUUACAUUAGUGUCACUCUUUUUCGGUGGUGUUUAUAUCAAAACACAUUCAUAUUCUACUGAAACAAAAAAAACAAAAAACAUUUCAACUCUUUUAACACACACACACACUCUCUCUCUCUCUCUCUCUCGUCUUCGAGCUAACCAGAAGCAAACGUUCGAACAUGGCCGCAAAGCUAAAUGUGCGAUUACAAUCACAGGUGAAUUCACAAUUCUUCAAUUCCGAAUUCAAUUUCAUCUUCGAUUUCGAAAUUGAUUUUCAACUUCGAUUUCGUAUUUCAUUCAUCUUCGAUUUUAUUUGAUUUCGUCUUUGAUUCUGUAUACGAAUUCAUCUUUCUGUAUUCAAUUUCAUCUUCCAUUUCGUAUUUGAUUUCAUCUUCGAUUAUGUAUUUGUUUUCAUUUUUGGUUUCGCAUCUCCUUGCUUAUUUUUCUUUCACUUUGGUUUUACACGUUGAAAAGAUGGUUGAGAUGAAGUGUGAGUUUUGUAUUGUGUUGGUUUUUGUUUUGAUUUUGCUUUUGUUGUGCUUCAUGGUAGAAUGCUUGUUUUGUGUUUGAUAAAAUGCUGCAACCAAACUUUAUGACACAAUGCCUGUUUUCUGUUUGAUAAAAUGCUUCAAUCAACCUUUUAUGGUACAGUGCUUAAUGUUUGUCUGAUAAAAUGCUUGAACCAAAUUUUAUUUACUUCUCUAAUCUCAGAAAUGUGAUUCUCCUGCAUCUAUGCUCUUAAAAAUGUUUUUCGAUUCUGCAAAAUGAACAGAAUUGUUUGUUCGGAAUGCGAUUAUGUGUAAAUUUUAGAUUCGAUCUUAACUAAAAUGUUGGAAACUUAGGAUUGAAGAAAUGGAUAUUAGUUCCUCAAUGAUACAGAAGUCGGUCUGUUUCCCGUCACGCACAACCAAACUAUUGCUGCUUUAGCUCCGACUGUGGGUGGCUAUCAGAGCUAUUAGAAACCUGUAAUAGUGCAAAAGUUCACUUGGCAAUGUAUGUGUUUAGUUGUUUGGCUGAUUUAUGUGUGUAUAAGCUUCCCAUUGCAUAGGAGAAAUGUAACUUUUCAUGUUUGAAGCAAUAUAAAAACUACAAGGAAUCUCCACCUUCAGAUUCAUAGGACAAAAGUUCACUACUGGAUGUAGUUGUUGAAAUUUUAUUAACUUUGAUCUUUAUGGUUCCUCACCACUAGAAAUUUUGGUGUUAGGUUAUCAUGACGAUCUGUAUCAUACCUAACGAACACGUGGACCUGUAGCAAAUAUAUGAGGCAUAUUUGGGUUAUUCUGUAUUACAAACUGCCAAAAGCUUGUACAAAACUUGCAAAAAGAAAUAAAGAAAAGUCAAAUAUCUUCCCAUUAUUACUAUUU